AACGAACGCUGGCGGCAUGCCUAACACAUGCAAGUCGAACGAGACCUUCGGGUCUAGUGGCGCACGGGUGCGUAACGCGUUGUAACCUUCCCUUAGGUUCGGAAUAACUCCCCGACAGGGGUGCUAAUACCGGAUAAUGUCUUCGGACCAAAGAUUUAUCGCCUUUGGAUGGGCCCGCGUUGGAUUAGCUAGUUGGUAGGGGAAAAGCCUACCAAGGCGACGAUCCAUAGCUGGUCUGAGAGGAUGAUCAGCCACACUGGGACUGAGACACGGCCCAGACUCCUACGGGAGGCAGAAGUGGGGGAUAUUGGACAAUGGGCGUAAGCCUGAUCCUGCAAUGCCGGGGGAGUCAUGAAGGCCGUAGGUGCGUAAAGCUCUUUUACACGCGAUGUUAAUGACAGUACCGGGAGAAUAAGCUCCGGCUAACUACGUG
rnacentral:rRNA from 1 species